GCAACAUUCCAUUUUACUGUUAUUUGAUUUUCAAUUUCUAAACUUGUAAUUAUCAUUUGCUUUGACACUCUCCUCGGAAUGAAAUAGGUUAUGCAAACAGUUUUGUGGCCUUCCUUGUUGCUGUUGUUAAUCCCUGAAAGAAGCACUUGAACAAUGGGCACAAGAAAUCCUCCACUCGGCACUGAACUCUGUUUUCGAGGAGCUACUUAGAAAAUUUAGGUUAUGGAAACAGUUUGAGGCCUUCCUUGUUGCUGUUGUUAAUCCCAGAAAGAAGCACUUGAACAAACGGCACAAGAAAUCCUCCACUCCUGUUUUUGAGGAGCAACUUAGAAAAUUUAGAUAUGGACUGUGAGCUCAUUUUGGAGACUUGGAAUGUCUUUUUGUCCAAGUGCUU